rnacentral:rRNA from 1 species
AUGCGGCUGCUGCUGCCAGGUCUGCACGACGUGGAGGUCCUGCAGAUGCGGUUGCUGCUCUGGCGGGCGAGGGGGAGUUCAAGCUGCCGGGCGACUUCAACUUCAUCUUCAUCUGCAGAUCAGGCGCGUACGAUUCGCUUGAUUCGGGUGGGAACAUUACAAUCAAGUGGGCACUGGAAUGAUCAUGUGAUGCACUGUUUGAAAUUAUCCACCAUUCAUCCUGCAACCGGACUGGCAAAUACUGCUGAAUAUGUUCAGAUGCAGAAAUUGGAACAAAGGAAAACAUCACAUGCUCCGACCAGAUUAAUUUCCAACUUAGCUGGAUGCCUAGUUAUGGGAAUCGACCAGAUUAAUUUCCAACUCAGCUAG